AUUAAUAAAUCUUGCAUCGUGUUAGACCAAAAAGUGUAUUGAGUUCGUAAAUAUUUGAAGAUACCAUAUAUUAGAAAGGAAAAAGUCUGCAGCAGAGAUGUGGACAAUUAUCACUUCAAUUAUUAGUGUGGGUUUGGCAAGUAUUAAUCUUUUUGUGGAUUGGAAAGAUGUGUGGAAAAUGGACAUUCAUGGGUAUCAAAUAUAUAAAGUUGUUGGUGAUUGUAUUCCAUUGGUCAUCUCAAUUGUGGUGAUCCCAGCUUUAUGCAUGUGUAAGAAGAAAAGUCUUGAAGAUG